rnacentral:rRNA from 1 species
UGGGGAAUUUUGGACAAUGGGGGCAACCCUGAUCCAGCCAUGCCGCGUGUCUGAAGAAGGCCUUCGGGUUGUAAAGGACUUUUGUCGAGGAGCAAACCUCUGUGGUUAAUACCUACGGAGCUGAGAGUACUCGAAGAAUAAGCACCGGCUAACUACGUGCCAGCAGCCGCGGUAAUACGUAGGGUGCAAGCGUUAAUCGGAAUUACUGGGCGUAAAGCGUGCGCAGGCGGUUGCGUAAGUCUGAUGUGAAAUCCCCGGGCUCAACCUGGGAACUGCAUUGGAGACUGCGUAGCUAGAGUACGUCAGAGGGGGGUGGAAUUCCACGUGUAGCAGUGAAAUGCGUAGAGAUGUGGAGGAACACCGAUGGCGAAGGCAGCCCCCUGGGAUGAUACUGACGCUC